GGGGGCCCGCACAAGCGGUGGAGCAUGUGGUUUAAUUCGAUGCAACGCGAAGAACCUUACCUACUCUUGACAUCCAGAGAACUUUCCAGAGAUGGAUUGGUGCCUUCGGGAACUCUGAGACAGGUGCUGCAUGGCUGUCGUCAGCUCGUGUUGUGAAAUGUUGGGUUAAGUCCCGCAACGAGCGCAACCCUUAUCCUUUGUUGCCAGCGAUUCGGUCGGGAACUCAAAGGAGACUGCCGGUGAUAAACCGGAGGAAGGUGGGGAUGACGUCAAGUCAUCAUGGCCCUUACGAGUAGGGCUACACACGUGCUACAAUGGCGCAUACAAAGAGAAGCGACCUCGCGAGAGCAAGCGGACCUCACAAAGUGCGUCGUAGUCCGGAUCGGAGUCUGCAACUCGACUCCGUGAAGUCGGAAUCGCUAGUAAUCGUGGAUCAGAAUGCCACGGUGAAUACGUUCCCGGGCCUUGUACACACCGCCCGUCACACCAUGGGAGUGGGUUGCAAAAGAAGUAGGUAGCUUAACCUUCGGGAGGGCGCUUACCACUUUGUGAUUCAUGACUGGGGUGAAGUCGUACAA
rnacentral:rRNA from 1 species